GCCAGCAUGGCAUAGUGGUUUGAGUGUUGGACCAUGACUCUGGAGACCAGGGUUCAAAUCUCAGCUCAGCCA
rnacentral:tRNA from 1 species